UUCCUCAUCAAGUCUGUAAUAUUGAGACAAAGUCUAAACUAAACUUUGAUUUAGUUAACGAUCUUCCCAUUGUUAAGUAACAUUACUGGAACACUUGCCUUUCUUUUUCAUAUGGAUAGCAUCUCCUUAGUCCAUACUAAUUGAUCAAAGCACACAUGUAGUGGUUAAGGAAUGGUUCAUCAUCAAAUAAAAAAUUAAUUACGGUAUAGAUAAACUGCAAACCAAUUCAAUGCUUCUUCCUUAUAAAUAGCAAGCUUCACAUGGACCAAAAUCCAAUUCUCACAAGCUAUUACAUAUAUCAGAAUCAUUAAAGAUAAGAUUAUAUUGCUAAGAAGAAAAAAUAUGAAGGUUGUCUACUUGCUUGUUGCCCUCUUGGCUUUGACAUCAACUGUUGUCUCUGCCUAUGACCCUAGUCCUCUGCAAGAUUUUUGUGUGGCAGCCAAAGAAAAAGAUGGUGGUAUGUCAAAUUAAACACUUCUCAACACAGAAUUUAAGCUUGUUGCAUAAUAUGUAUAGACAUAGAUGUUGUCUAGAAUUAUUGUUAUUGAUGAUUUUUAUUAAUUAAAACCUUUGCUUGUAAUUUGUAGUAUUUGUGAACGGGAAAUUCUGCAAGGACCCCAAGCUUGUCAAAGCAGAAGAUUUCUUCAGACAUGUGGAACCUGGGAAAACUGACAACCCACUAGGUUCAAACGUGACUCAGGUGUUUGUUGAUCAACUACCGGGACUAAACACGCUCGGCAUAGGUUUGGCUCGCAUAGAUUUUGCUCCAAAGGGUUUGAACGCUCCCCACACUCACCCUCGCGGCACUGAGAUCCUUAUAGUCCUUGAGGGUACUCUUUAUGUUGGAUUUGUGACUUCCAAUCAAGAUGGAAAUCGCCUCUUCACCAAAGUGCUGAACAAGGGUGAUGUGUUUGUGUUCCCAAUUGGUCUCAUUCAUUUCCAAUUGAAUGUGGGAUAUGGCAAUGCUGUUGCCAUUGCUGGUCUUAGCAGUCAAAAUCCAGGAGCUAUCACUAUUGCAAAUGCUUUGUUUAAAGCUAAUCCACCUAUUUCUUCUGAGGUUCUCACCAAAGCUUUCCAGGUGGACAAGAGCAUAAUUGAUUAUCUUCAAAAGCAAUCUUGGUACGACAACAAUAACUAAUUUGGGAGAAUGGACGAUCAUUUCGCACUAGCUAGUUAUUGGAUAUAAUUGACCACUUUAUGGUUUCAAUCACCCCAUACAAUAGACCUAAUAAAUAAAAUGUAUGUGGGUUAUUUUUAUAUUUCAUAUUUGUUCUUUUGGAGUUUGAUUAAUUUGGUUUAAUACACUGUUUGAGUUUAAUAAAAGAACCUGUUCUUCUUUGAGUUGCGGAUGGAUCUGAUCUUUAAGUCUCUUAAUUGUCAAGAGCGUCUACUAUAAUAUGGAUGGAUUUUGAAGUAACAGAAAAUGAAAUAACAUAUUAAUGGGGAUUACUGGGGUUGUUUUCACAAGACAUACAAUUACUUGUCUUGAGAGACAUAAUUUAAGAAGGGGGGAGGGGAGGAUGAAAUGAGGUAAAAGCCUACAACAGUCAAAGAUAAGUGAUAAGAAAACUUAUCAAACUAUAUUGAUCCUCUCCACGUAUUAUUACAACCGCUCCCUAUAUACUACAUGCCGCGUUAAAUUCUUAAGUUAGAAAAGUGAAUUAGUGAGAGCAUCGUGGUACUGUUUACCUGUUAACAUUGCUCUUAUACUUGGACACCAAAAUAAGAUGACUUAACGGAUUUAAUUUGGAGUCUCUCAAAAACAUUAAAACCAGAACAAGAAAGAUCAGACAAACAAUAAAAUGAAAACAUAUGUAUGUUUAUAUAUCUGUCGUAUGUCAUAAUAUAAAUGUACAAAGAAUGGUCAGGGUGAUAUUAAAAACUAAACAAUGUUUUAAUAAAAUGUCUACAAAAUCUGCAACUCACAGUCACAGGCUUGCAGACAGUUGUACAUGCAUAUUCAACAAAUACGAUUCACAUUAGCAAAGGGCUCAGUGCUAGUUUGGAAGCCUGGGGAGUUCCAAAGACAUUCCAAAGUCUCAGUGUCUCGUCUCCUGCUGCAGAGGUCACAGUACACCCAUUUGGACUUCGUGCCAUAUACAGCACCCUGGAGUUCAAGGUUUGGAGGCUAGCGAGAAGCGAAGCAUGGGGAAAAAGGUUUGGAGGUCAAGGACGAAGUCGAGAAUGUAACGAGCAAGCUAAAGGAUAAGCACGAGAAUGAGAGGUUUCGGGGCUGAGAACGAAAACUUGAAUUUUAUGGAAACAAAUCACGAUAGUUUUAGAAAAAUCGUCCUUAAAGAACUACUUUCAACGAUGGUUUUCCUAAAACCAUCAUUAACUUAACGAAGCUUAAUCACGAAGUUUAUCUAUACCGUUAUUAAUUUUUUAUUUGAUGAUGAAGCAUUCCUUAACAACUCCAUGCGUGCUUGAUCAAUUAGUAUGGACUAAGGAGAUGCUUCUAUAUGAUAAAGAAAAAGUAAGUGCUUCGGUAUUACCUCGUCCACUUGGCUUUGCUUGUACUCGUUCCUGUAAUAUUAUUCUAAAUGGAAAGAUUGUUAACUAAAUCAAAGUUCAGUUUAGACCUCGUCCACUGUGGAAAGUUUAAAUUGGCUUCCUGUUACUGUGUUACUGUUCCAAGUUUAAACAUGGUCACCAAAAGUAGUUGGUGGAAUAUGAAAAUUUUGUGAGGGAUUGGUCACGAUCCAACCACAGUUAACAUAUAUUUUACCACAGCUAAACAAUAUAUAGAGACCAUUUCUGAUUACCUUGUCAGAAAUUAAUCAAACACUCCGGUUGCAACCCGAAAUUUUAUGGUUGUGUCCGUGUGAUUCGUUUUAAAUUUUCAUACACUAUUAAUGUAUUUGAAUAACAGAACAGUGUUCGAAGAGGUGAACAUCGGAAGUUAUUAAAUGUUAGAUUUGCACGGCCUGUUGGAAUUGCUUUGGGGCAUAAUAUAAAUAUUAUUAUAGUUCCCCGUCGAGUAGACAAAAUACUUUUGAAGGUAAAUGCAUAUAAUAUAGUGAGACUUGUACUGAACAGAAAUAGUUCAAUUUUAAUUUUGAAUGCGUAAACCGCAAAAGGAAAUAGUUUUAGUCAAUAUUAACAUAUUCGGACAGCUCAUUGACUAGAUUUGGAUCUAGAAUUGAUCCAAACAUUCACUUACAUGACUUGCUUUAUAUUAAAAAAAUUAAAUAAUUUAUAAUAUUCAAACUGUAAAAAAUAAAAUAAAAAAAUCAAACUUUUAUAUAUAAUUGUGAUAAAUCAUAAAAAUGUAUUUAAUAUAUAUAAUAAAUUAUAAGAUAGUUAUCAUAAAAGAAAUAUAUAUAUAUAUAUAUAUAUAUAUAUAUAUAUAUAUAUAUAUAUAUAUAUAUAUAUAUAUAUAUAUGCAAAUUAAUAAACAUAACUAUUAUCAUAUUAUAGUAACAUAUCAUACUUAUAUUAAUGUAUCCAGCGUUUUUACACUAAAAAAUAUGCAUGUCAUAUUGCUACACACUCUAUAGUAACACAUUUUACCUAUAUUUUUUUUAUCUAAUACCCUAUGACCGUGCCUUUAGCUUUAUUUUUAUUUUUGUGUCACUAUAGCCCUGGUAAUUUUUUUCUUGUUAAAAUCAAGUGAUAUUUUAUUUUUCUAAGCAGCUUUACCAAAACCAAAAUAAGGAAAAUCAUUGUUGCCCUUUGUGGUCUCGUUCUCUCUUUGAUGAUCUCUUGUGUCUCCAAUUUGCGUUCUCUCUUCAGUUUACUUUGGCAAUAAAUAAAAGUCAGGGGGAAUUGCUUUCCCAUGUGGGAAUCUAUCUUUCAAGAAUUGUAUUUACUCGUGGACGGUUGUAUGUUACAAUAUCAAAAGUCACUUCUAAAGAUUUUAGGAGAAGUAUUUGCAAUUGACAAUAUUUAGGUAGUGUCUAACUUAACUUUUAUUCUAAUUUAAUUAUAAUCCUAAUGAUACUCGAUCAACUAAACAUUCAAAAUUUGAUUAUGUUUCUUAUGAACCUUGCUACUUAUAUGUUUCUUCCUUUACGGAUUUGGAAAACUUAGCAUGCAAAUUGCAAGGAUGGAAAAAAAGUAUGUCAACCUUGGUAUAUUUUGAGUUUUAACAACAUUGUUUUUAUUAUCCAUAUACUAAGAUUGCAUUUUAUUUGCAGGAUUUUGCAUUAAAAUGCAGACACAUUUAAAGUUUUUCUAUUGGAAUAGUUCCAUAGAUUUUAUCUUCUCUAAAUUAUUGAAUUUUUUGAUUUAUUGACGCAGUGAACCAUGUAAUUUUGAUUCAAUAAUCAAAAUUUUGAAUGAGUUCAUGCUAAAAAAUUAUGAGGCUAACUAAAAGAACAAAUUAAAAUUUAGCUCGUUGUUUUACAAUGUUUAGAUAGAAAAAAUCAUUUUUUAAAAGGUUUGAUUUCAUACACAUACCUGCUCUAGAGAUCAUAGUUUAUGUAAUUUAUAGUAAAAUAGUAAGUAAAAAUAGCUAACAAAUUAAAUGAUGAUUGUAUUAUAAUAUUAAAAUACUAUUAUAUUUUACUGUCAAAAACAAAAAAUAAAGCAACACUUUUUUAGGAACCAUGACUAAAAUACUAUUAUAUUUUACUGUCAAAAACAUAUUUAAGUGCGUAAAAUAUAUAAUAUUUGGUCAAUUUUAAAAAAGUAAAUUAUAACUUAAAAUAGAAACUUCAUAUUUUAUAGUAAUCAUAUGUUAUUAUAUAUGGCUUAAAAAAGAUUUUUAUAUAAUUAUUGUACUUUCAUGCUCGUACUAAUGUGAUUAAUAAUUUUAAAAUGAAGGCCUGGAGAGUUAUUAAAAUUAUGGCCGGAAGCAAAUGGAUCAGGCUGUGCACAGUCAAUGAAUAAAAAUCUUUAGUAGUGUAAGAAAACAAGUUACACGAAAUUUCGAUAUUCCAAAUCCUACUUUGAUGGCCAUGUUUAAACUUGAGACAGUAACAGGAAGCCAAUAAGAGAUAAGGGAGGAAAAGAGGUAAUAUUUUAAAUACAUUAAACUAUUAUCAUCAGUUCUGAAAAUUGAGACAGUCUAAACUGACCUUUGAUUCAGUAAAGGAGCUUCCAAUUAUAAAAUGAUAUUACUGGGCUCGUACGAAGCCAAGUGGACAGGUAAAAUAAUAACAUUGCUUCUCCAUCUCAGGCAUCUGCUAAGUCUACUCUUUGAUUAAGUAUGCAUUAGUUGUUAAGGAAUGGUUCAUCAUCCAAUAAAGAAUUAAUUAGGGUAUAGUUAAACUGCAAACCAAUUCAAUGCUUCAUCCUUAUAUAUAGCAAGCUUCACAUGAAUCAAAAUUAAUUCAAUUCUCACAAGCGAAAUCAUUUAAGAUAAGAGUGCAUUACUACUAAGAGGAGAAAAAAUGAAAGUUGUAUACUUCCUUGUUGCUAUCUUGGCUUUGACAUCCACUGUGGUCUCUGCCUAUGACCCUAGUCCUCUGCAAGAUUUUUGUGUGGCGGCCAAAGAAAAAGAUGGUGGUAUGUACAAACAAACACUCCUCACAAGUCUUGCUACACAAAUUUUAAUCAAUUUUUUUCCCUGGAAUUAUUGUGAUUCAUAUAUUUUAAUUAAAAUUUUGCCCUGUU
rnacentral:lncRNA from 1 species